rnacentral:lncRNA from 1 species
GUUUUAUUCGUUUUAGAUAGAAUGGUAUUUUAUUCUGCUACAAAAUUCCAGCUGAUUAUGGAACUUAAGGCUCUACCAUUUUGAAAAGUGUUGCUAAACUAAAGUAAUUUAGCUUUUUGUGGCAUUGAAUAAAUCAUUCUUUUUGGAUCACCUUUAGUUUGCUGAGGCCAUUCUAGAAGGCUCAAAUGGGUACCUUGCAUGCUCACCUGCACAGCAAGAGAGAGAGCGACUGGGGUGUUUUUUUUUUAGGUCACUUGAUGAAUGCAGUGAUCUGGCUGGUGACAUCAGGUACCUGGCAACAAAAUUCAUCCCCCAGAAAAAAGUGGCUGAAGCCCUGUUGGAAGAGGGAAAUGUCAAUGAAGCCAUGUUCAAAACAGAAGACUGCAGGUAAUUUAGUAACAAUUUACUAUUACACUUAACAUUGACUAAAUGAUUUAAUUCCAGGUGAACUGGAAAACUAAAUAGCUGUUGAUAUUUUCAAUUGCAGGAAGACCAUGAAAGCUUUACAAGAUGCUUUAGAGAGUAAUUGGGAAACAUUUGACCUGGCAACACAUGGUCUUGGUCCUGCUGUUAUAAAGGGCACUUUUGCAUUAGUUGAUGCAUGGCUUAAGGAAAAGAUGAGAGCACUGAAAU